rnacentral:rRNA from 1 species
GCAUAUCAAUAAGCGGAGGAAAAGAAAAUAACAAUGAUUCCCCUAGUAACUGCGAGUGAAGAGGGACAAGCUCAAAUUUUAAAUCUAUCGGGUUUUACCUGAUCGAGUUGUAAUUUGAAGAAGCGUUUUCUGCGUUUUUGGUCAGCUCAAGUCCUAUUGAAUGAGGCAUCAUGGAGGGUGAUAAUCCCGUCCGGUUGAUCAUUUGCGUUUUACGAUACGCUCUCUAAGAGUCAAGUUGUUUGGGAUUGCAGCUUAAAAUGGGAGGUAAAUUUCUCCUAAGGCUAAAUAACGGCGAGAGACCGAUAGCGAACAAGUACCGUGAGGGAAAGAUGAAAAGAACUUUGAAAAGAGAGUUAAACAGUACGUGAAAUUGUUGAAAGGGAAACGAUUGAAGCCAGUCGUACCUUCGGGUAAUCAGCCUUUCGGGUGCGAUUCUGUGGAGUGUGAGGAGCUUAACACCUUCAUGCUUUGCAUAUUUGUGCUCUUGGGUGUACUUGCUCGUGUGGUUGGUUAACAUCAAUUUUGAUUAUCAUAAAAUGAUUGGAGGAAUGUAGCUUCGAUCUCGUAUUGAAGUGUCAUAGCCUUCGGUAGAUGUGAUGAUCGAGAUUGAGGAUUGCAACGGAUACCCUUCGGGGCUACCUGUCUGGUCUCUGAUCGUUGCUCUGGUGCCGAAAGCUUGCUUACGGUUAUCAAAGUCGAUGGUCAACAGGUUAGAAUGGGUUAAAUUCGUUAAGGAUGUUGACGUA